AUAACUACCUGACAAGGGAGAGACCAUGAUUAUGAAGGUGGUUCUCCCAGGACAGAGAUAUCCCAUUGCACUUUGGGUAUGCUAAGAGCUGUGAUGACCCCAAAUGCAGGAUACUCGACAGCAAAAUUUGUGGUAUUGGGGGACUGCAUUCACGCUCUCCCCUG